rnacentral:rRNA from 1 species
UACGAAGGGUGCAAGUGUUAAUCGGAAUUACUGGGCGUAAAGGGCGCGUAGGCGGGAUGGCAAGUCGGUCGUGAAAUCCCUCGGCUCAACCGAGGAACGUCGAUCGAUACUGCUGUUCUUGAGGAUUGCAGAGGAGACUGGAAUUCCCGGUGUAGCGGUGAAAUGUGUAGAGAUCGGGAGGAACACCGGUGGCGAAGGCGGGUCUCUGGGCAAUUCCUGACGCUGAGGCGCGAAAGCGUGGGGAGCAAACGGG